rnacentral:rRNA from 1 species
AUACGGAGGGUGCAAGCGUUGUCCGGAAUCACUGGGCGUAAAGGGCGCGUAGGCGGCGCAGUAAGUAGGGGGUGAAAUCUCACGGCUCAACCGUGAAACUGCCUCCUAAACUGCUGUGCUUGAGCACGGUAGAGGCAGAUGGAAUUCCCGGUGUAGCGGUGGAAUGCGUAGAUAUCGGGAAGAACACCAGUGGCGAAGGCGGUCUGCUGGGCCGUUGCUGACGCUGAGGCGCGACAGCGUGGGGAGCAAACAGGAUUAGAUACCCCAGUAGUCC